AUGCAAGUCGAGCGGGCGUAGCAAUACGUCAGCGGCAGACGGGUGAGUAACGCGUGGGAACGUACCUUUUGGUUCGGAACAACUGAGGGAAACUUCAGCUAAUACCGGAUAAGCCCUUACGGGGAAAGAUUUAUCGCCGAAAGAUCGGCCCGCGUCUGAUUAGCUAGUUGGUGAGGUAAUGGCUCACCAAGGCGACGAUCAGUAGCUGGUCUGAGAGGAUGAUCAGCCACAUUGGGACUGAGACACGGCCCAAACUCCUACGGGAGGCAGCAGUGGGGAAUAUUGGACAAUGGGCGCAAGCCUGAUCCAGCCAUGCCGCGUGAGUGAUGAAGGCCCUAGGGUUGUAAAGCUCUUUUGUGCGGGAAGAUAAUGACGGUACCGCAAGAAUAAGCCCCGGCUAACUUCGUGCCAGCAGCCGCGGUAAUACGAAGGGGGCUAGCGUUGCUCGGAAUCACUGGGCGUAAAGGGUGCGUAGGCGGGUCUUUAAGUCAGGGGUGAAAUCCUGGAGCUCAACUCCAGAACUGCCUUUGAUACUGAAGAUCUUGAGUUCGGGAGAGGUGAGUGGAACUGCGAGUGUAGAGGUGAAAUUCGUAGAUAUUCGCAAGAGCACCAGUGGCGAAGGC
rnacentral:rRNA from 1 species